rnacentral:rRNA from 1 species
AUACGGAGGGUGCAAGCGUUAUUCGGAAUCACUGGGCGUAAAGGACGCGUAGGCGGGUUGGCAAGUCAGAUGUGAAAUCCUACAGCUUAACUGUAGAACUGCAUUCGAAACUGCUAACCUAGAGUAUGGGAGGGGGAGAUGGAAUUAGUGGUGUAGGGGUAAAAUCCGUAGAUAUCACUAGGAAUACCGAAAGCGAAGGCGAUCUCCUGGAACAUAACUGACGCUAAGACGUGAAAGCGUGGGGAGCAAACAGGAUUAGAAACCCUAGUAGUCC